UACGGAGGGUGCGAGCGUUAUUCGGAAUUACUGGGCGUAAAGCGCGUGUAGGCGGGGAAGCAAGUCUGAUGUGAAAGCCCUGGGCUUAACCUGGGAAGUGCAUUGGAAACUGUUUUUCUUGAGUACUGGAGAGGAAGGGAGAAUUCCCGGUGUAGAGGUGAAAUUCGUAGAGAUCGGGAGGAACACCAGUGGCGAAGGCGCCCUUCUGGACGGUUACUGACGCUGAGACGCGAAAGCGUGGGGAGCAAACAGG
rnacentral:rRNA from 1 species